rnacentral:rRNA from 1 species
UACGAAGGGGGCUAGCGUUGUUCGGAAUCACUGGGCGUAAAGGGCGCGUAGGCGGCGCGUCAAGUCAGGCGUGAAAGCCCCGGGCUCAACCCGGGAAUUGCGCUUGAUACUGUCGUGCUUGAGGCCGGGAGAGGAUGGCGGAAUUCCCAGUGUAGAGGUGAAAUCCGUAGAUAUCGGGAGGAAUACCAGCGGCGAAGGCGGCCUUCUGGACGGUGACUGACGCUGAGACGCGAAAGCGUGGGGAGCAAACAGG